rnacentral:lncRNA from 1 species
GCUGCUUCAGCCUGGAACAGAAGGAGCUUGGAAGUCCUCACUCCCACUCUCAAAACAGGAAGGCUGGACAAACAGAACAUCCACAGCUCUUCUUAGAUCCCUCAGAGAACUGAGGUCCCCAGGCAAACUGUGACCCUCACAUUUGCAGAGACAUUCUUAUCUGGAGACUCAACGUUUACCUGAAGGGAAGCCGAGGCGUACACACCAGGCACCGGCACCAGUGCUGGGUGAGCAAACCUAAACUGAAGUGGAGCAGUUGCUGGAGACUUGAGAGUUGAACUCCAGAGAGGCCAUGGGAGCACUGGGACCCCUCACUCCCUUGAGUGCUAGCUCCAGGAGCCUUGUCAGGUUCUCAGGCUUUAGACCAGAGAAUCAAACACUACCCCUGUUUGUGGCAAUGGCAUGGGGAAAAUAACCAUUUUGAACUAUUACCAGAGUAUUAGUUCUACUCUAUAAAAGCUGCUACAAGAGAAAGUGUCAUGCCAGAGCUGAUCUUUAUGAUUUUAUCUGCAUCUAACUGACUUGGAGUGGCAAACAUCAACCCCUGCUCCCUCUUUCAUUCCUGCCCUGUCAUGGUUGGGAGUGCAUGAAGGUUUUAGCCAAAGGACACAGGCUCCCUGUGAGACUGUGAGGUCUAAUUCUAAGACUAGGGAAUUCUUCCUAUCCCACAUGCUCACCUCAGCACCACCUCAGUAGGGAUUCUGUAUAAUGAGAGAGGAAGGAACCGUCUCAGUCCAUAAUCAGUAAGGAUCCACUGGGAAACUAACAGGCAAGAGGGGACACAAAAAUAAAGACACCAGAGGAAAUACAGUCUGUCACACCCAUGGCAAUGUCAAACAGCAAACACAGCCUAACUCCUCACCAGAUAAACACUAAACAUCACACUGCACAUUUAUGAACCUUUCACCCAGCAGAUCAUAUCUGACUUUGUACAGAAAAUUUCAAGGUAUACAUGAAGAAGAAGAAGAAAAAAGAAGAGGAUGAGGAAGGAGAAGGAGAAGAAGAAACAGAAUCAGACAACAUUUCUUCAAGGAAAAGCAAACAUCAAAACCAGGCUUAGAUUUAGUGGGCAUUUUGAAAAAUUCAGAUCAAGAAUCUGAAAUAAUUAUGAAUACAUUCUGGGCGAUGUCAACAGGCAGAUGGACACUCCAAGAAAGAGUCAAAAGGAAAUUCUAGAAAUCAAAAGAUAUUGUAACAUAAAUAAUACCUUUAAAUAUUUAAUCAAUAAACUGG